AGUCGUAACAAGGUUUCCGUAGGUGAACCUGCGGAAGGAUCAUUACAGUAUUCUUUUUGCCAGCGCUUAAUUGCGCGGCGAAAAAACCUUACACACAGUGUUUUUUGUUAUUACAAGAACUUUUGCUUUGGUCUGGACUAGAAAUAGUUUGGGCCAGAGGUUUACUGAACUAAACUUCAAUAUUUAUAUUGAAUUGUUAUUUAUUUAAUUGUCAAUUUGUUGAUUAAAUUCAAAAAAUCUUCAAAACUUUCAACAACGGAUCUCUUGGUUCUCGCAUCGAUGAAGAACGCAGCGAAAUGCGAUAAGUAAUAUGAAUUGCAGAUUUUCGUGAAUCAUCGAAUCUUUGAACGCACAUUGCGCCCUCUGGUAUUCCAGAGGGCAUGCCUGUUUGAGCGUCAUUUCUCUCUCAAACCUUCGGGUUUGGUAUUGAGUGAUACUCUUAGUCGAACUAGGCGUUUGCUUGAAAUGUAUUGGCAUGAGUGGUACUGGAUAGUGCUAUAUGACUUUCAAUGUAUUAGGUUUAUCCAACUCGUUGAAUAGUUUAAUGGUAUAUUUCUCGGUAUUCUAGGCUCGGCCUUACAAUAUAACAAACAAGUUUGACCUCAAAUCAGGUAGGAUUACCCGCUGAACUUAAGCAUAUCUAAAAGUCG
rnacentral:rRNA from 1 species